rnacentral:lncRNA from 1 species
AAUGUUUUAUUAAAUUCCCAAUCUUAGUUACUUUAGGAAAAAUGUGAAUAAGGUGCUAUUCCAUGAAAUUACACUUUACACUUUGAUUAAGUCGUUGGUGGAGCGUGUGUGGUUAACCGGCACACUAACUUGGACUUAACAAGGUAGGUAAAGGGUGACUUAGGGUUGUAUUAUAGGUUGGUGGAGCGUGUGUGGUUAACCGGCACAUCGAUUGAGUGAUAAACUUUAAGGGUACCAAGUGAUUUGCAUGGUUACUUCACACCUCGUUUUGUGAUCCUCGGUAUCCCAGUCACAAAACUUGGAGGGCACAUUCGAGAUUGAAACAUGCCUUUGAAAAGUUCAUUGAAUCUCAAAAGAAUCUAGGAAUUU